UUAGGUUAAGUUAGGUAGUAUUCGAGGUGUUUGAUGGAGUUAGGUUAGGAUAGGUUAGGUUAGGUUAGGAUAGAGGUGUUUGAUGGAGUUAGGUUGGGUUAGGUUAGGUUAGGUUAGGUUAGGAUAGAGGUGAUUGAUGGAGUUAGGUUAGGUUCGGUUAGGUGAGGUUAGGUUAGGUUAGGAAUUAGGUUAGGUUAGGUUAGGUUAGGUUAGGAUAGACAGUUGGUCUGGAAAGAGAUGAUUUUCUACCUUGGAUGUUACCCGCAUUUCAUGGCGUCUGUCUGUCCUGAGUUGGCGCAGGUGUUCAUGAUUAUCUUAAAUCUACCUUGGGUGUGAACCGCAUUACCCAGUGGUGUUGGGGGGGAAGGGUGACCCACAAUGAGUCUCUCAGAGCGAGGAAAGUGUUUCUAUUCGGAAAUCGAGUAAAUAUUUCUACCAUUGAGUGUGUUUACCAACAAGAAAAUAAUGUUCGAUUUUACGAUAAAGUUUUCAAAACUAAUUUGGAAAUAUCCAAAAAUGGAGUCGUUCAAAGUAAUUCUGGAGUACUCUAAUGUAUUUUUGGAAGUGUUCCAAUAUAUUUUAGGUUAGGUUAGGAUAGGUUCGGCUAGGUUAGGUUGGGUUAGGUUAAGAUAGGUUAGGUUAGGUUAGGUAAUGGUUAGGCAAGGUUAGAUUAGGUUAGGUAAAGGUUAGGUAAAGGUUAGGUUAGGUUAGGUUAAGUUAGGUAAAGGUUAGGUAAAGGUUAGGUUAGGUUAAGUUAGGUUAGGCUAGGUUAGGUUAGGUUAGGCUAGGUUAGGAUAAGUUAGGUUAGGCUAGGUUAGGGUGUGUGUGUGUGUGUGUUGUGUGUGUGUGGGAUGUGGGAUGUGGGUGUUGUGGGAUGUGGGUGUUGUUGUCGAACUAGAGAUACCGAAAAGACGUUAUAAGUGGGUUGUUGAUGUGACUUUUUCUGAUGUAGUGUGUCCCCUUAUUAACUUUAAUGAACUAAAAGGGUUAAAACGAGAAAAAAAAUGGGAGGUGUGGGUGUUGUGACUUUCUGAUGAAAUUAGAUAAAACGAGAAAAAAUUGUGGGUGUUGUGGGUUGUGGGUGUUGUGGGAUGUGGGUGUUGAUCUUAGUUUAUGGUGAUUUUGGUGGUGUUUUGAGUGUAUUCAGUGGUGUUUUAGUAUUCAGUGGUGUAUUUGGGAGUACUCAAAUGGUGUUUUUGGAAGUGUUUCAGUGUUGUUUGGAAAUGUUCAAAGGUGUUCAAAGGUGUUUUGAGUGUGUUCAAAUGUUGUUUUUUUGAAGGUGAUCAAGGGUGUUCAAGGGUGUUUUGAAGGUGUUCAAAGGUGUUUUGGAAAUGUUCAAAGGUGUUUUGAGUGUGUUCAAAUGAUUAUGAGAGUGUUUUGAAUGUGUUCAAAGAUGUUUUGAAGGUGAUCAAAGGUGUUUUGAAGGUGAUGAAGGGUGUUUUGAGUGUGUUCAAGGGUGUUUGAAGGUGUUGAAGGGUGUUUUGAUUGAAUUCAGCGGUGUUUUAGUAGUAAUCAGUGGUGUAAUUGGGAGUACUCAAAUUGUGUUUUUUGGAAGUGUUUCAGUGUUGAUUGGAAAUGUUCAAAGGUGUUUUUGAAAGUGUUCAAGAGUGUUUUGAAGGUGUUCAAGGGUGUUUGAAGGUGUUGAAGGGUGUUUUGAUUGAAUUCAGCGGUGUUUUAGUAGUAAUCAGUGGUGUAAUUGGGAGUACUCAAAUAGUGUUUUGGAAAUGUUCAUGGGUGUUGUGGGAUGUGGGUGUUGUGGGUGUUGUUGACGAACUAGAGAUACCGAAAAAAAUGUUAUAAGUGGGUUGUUGUUGGGACUUUUUCUGAUGUAGUGUGUCCCCUUAUUAACUUUAAUGAACUAAAAGGGUUAAAACGAGAAAAAAAAUUAUGGGUUGUGGAUGUUGUUGUUGUGACUUUCUGAUGUACUGUGUCCCCUUAUUAACUUUAAUGAACUAAAAGGGUUAAAACGAGAAAAAUUGUGGGUGUUGUGGGGUGUGUGUGCGUGUGUGUUAGGUGUCAUAGAGAUUUUUUUUUGUGAAAAUCUUGGUUACAGUGAUGACAUUAGUUAAAACGAGUAAAAUUUGUUGGUAAUUGAUGAGGGUAGUGUAGUCGAAUUAGAGUUACCGAAAAAAGAUGAUAUAAGUGGGUUGUGAUGAAAUUAGUUUAAAAACGAUAUUCAAAGGUGUUUUGAAGGUGUUCAAGGGUGUUUAUGUGAGUAUUCAAAGGUGUUUUUUGAAGGUGUACAAAUGAUUAUGAGAGUGUUUUUGGGGGUGUUCAAAGUAAAGUGUUUGAGUUAGUUUUUGUGAUAAUGUUGUGGAGUCUGGAGACUGAGGGAUGAGUUGUAAUUUAAUGAAAUGUGUAAGUGCAGAUAAAUUAGAGAUGUCAAAUCUUAUUUGGGAGUACUCAAAUAGUGUUUUGGAAAUGUUCAAAGGUGUUCAAAGGUGUUUUGAGUGUGUUCAAAUGUUGUUUUGAAGGUGUUCAAGGGUGUUUUGAAGGUGUUCAAGGGUGUUUUGAAGGUGUUCAAAGGUGUUUUGAGGUUAUUCAAAGGUGUUUUGAGUGUGUUCAAAUGAUUAUGAGAGUGCUUUGAAGGUGUUUUGAAGGUGUUCAAGGGUGUUUAUGUGAGUAUUCAAAGGUGUUUUUUGAAGGUGUACAAAUGAUUAUGAGAGUACUUAUGAAGGUGUUCAAAUGAUGUGCAAGAGUACUUAUAAAGGUGUUCUGGGAGUAUUCAGAGGUGAUUUGGGGGUGUUCGAAUGAUGUUUUUGGAGUAUUUCAGUGUUGUUUGGAAAUGUAUAAAGGUAUUUUUUGUGAGUAUUCAAAUGAUUUAUGAGAGUGUUUUGAAGAUGUUCAAAGUAAAAGUGCGUAUUUAACUUCGUAAUAUGUAAAAUUGUGAGUAGUGAAUUUAACGAAAGUGGAUGUAAGCGAUGUGGUGACUUUCUGAUGCAUGUGUCCCCUUAUUAACUUUAAUGAACUAAAAGGGUUAAAACGAGAAAAAUUGGGGGUUAUGAGUGAAAAUUGUGAGGUGUUGGUUGGAGUGUGGGUAAAAGGGUAGACAAGAUUCAACCUGUGUGCGCGUGGUCCUUUUUAGUUCAUUUAACUUAAUGAGAGGAAUACUGACGUCACUGACCGCCGAGUAAACACCCUUCAUUAGACCUGUAGUAAGCAUGCCCCAUAGGAGGAGUUCAUUUGAAUGCUUACCCCCAGAGGGGGGAAUCCAAAAACCUUGAUCCAAGGAGAUGGAGUCUUGGUAUUAUCGAGAAAUUUUGGGGUGGGAGUGAAAGUGAGAGGGGUAAUCCAAAAAUUUGAUCCAAGGAGAAUUUCGAAAACCCCAUAGGGGGGAAUCCAAAAAACUUGAUCCGAGGAGAUGGAGUCAUGGUAUUGUCGAGAAAAUUUGAUCCGAGGAGAUGGAGAAUUUCGAAAACCCCAUAGGGGGGAUCCAAAAAACUCGAUCCGAGGAGAUGGAGUCAUGGUAUUGUCGAGAAAAUUUGGGGUGAAAGGAGGGGUACCCAAAAAACCUUGAUCCAAGGAGAUGGAGAAUUUCGAAAACCCCAUAGGGGGGAAUCCAAAAAAUUUGAUCCGAGGAGAUGGAGAC